rnacentral:rRNA from 1 species
CUCGUAGGCGGUUCGGUAAGUCGGGUGUGAAAAAUCUGGGCUCAACCCAGUGGAGCACCCGAUACUGCUGUGACUGGAGUCCGGUAGAGGAGUGUGGAAUUCCUGGUGUAGCGGUGAAAUGCGCAGAUAUCAGGAGGAACACCGACAGCGAAGGCAGCACUCUGGGCCGGUACUGACGCUGAGGAGCGAAAGCGUGGGGAGCAAACA